rnacentral:rRNA from 1 species
GCGGGAAGAAGCUCAAAUUUAUAAUCUGGCACCUUCGGUGUCCGAGUUGUAAUCUCUAGAAAUGUUUUCCGCGUUGGACCGCACACAAGUCUGUUGGAAUACAGCGGCAUAGUGGUGAGACCCCCGUAUAUGGUGCGGACGCCCAGCGCUUUGUGAUACAUUUUCGAAGAGUCGAGUUGUUUGGGAAUGCAGCUCAAAUUGGGUGGUAAAUUCCAUCUAAAGCUAAAUAUUGGCGAGAGACCGAUAGCGAACAAGUACCGUGAGGGAAAGAUGAAAAGCACUUUGGAAAGAGAGUUAACAGUACGUGAAAUUGUUGGAAGGGAAACGCUUGAAGUCAGACUUGCUUGCCGAGCAAUCGGUUUGCAGGCCAGCAUCAGUUUUCCGGGAUGGAUAAUGGUAGAGAGAAGGUAGCAGUUUCGGCUGUGUUAUAGCUCUCUGCUGGAUACAUCUUGGGGGACUGAGGAACGCAGUGUGCCUUUGGCGGGGGUUUCGACCUCUUCACACUUAGGAUGCUGGUGGAAUGGCUUUAAACGACCCGUCUU